GAUUAAAUGGCUGAAAUAUAGGCAAUAGAUUGUAAAUUUAUUUAUGGAAAUUAUUUUUCUUUAAUCA
rnacentral:tRNA from 1 species